rnacentral:rRNA from 1 species
GCAUAUCAAUAAGCGGAGGAAAAGAAACUAACAAGGAUUCCCCUAGUAACGGCGAGUGAAGCGGGAAAAGCUCAAAUUUUAAAUCUGGUAGGACUCCCUAUCCGAGUUGUAGUUUCAAGAGACGUUUUCGGUUCGCGCCUGGGUAUAAGUCCUUUGGAACAGGGCAUCAUAGAGGGUGAGAAUCCCGUUUAUGACCCGGAGCGGCGGACUAUGUGAUACGUUUUCAAAGAGUCAGGUUGUUUGGGAAUGCAGCCUAAAAUGGGUGGUAAAUUUCAUCUAAAGCUAAAUAUUGGCGAGAGACCGAUAGCGAACAAGUACCGUGAGGGAAAGAUGAAAAGAACUUUGAAAAGAGAGUUAAACAGUACGUGAAAUUGUUGAAAGGGAAACGUUUGAAAUCAGUCAUGUAGGCGAGUAAUCAGCUUGGCUUUUUGCCUUGUGCACUUUCUCGUUCGCAGGUCAGCGUCAGUUUUGAUACAGUCGGAUAAAAGCCAAGGGAAUGUGGCCUCUCUCGGGGGGUGUUAUAGCCCUGGUUAAUACGAUGGUUAAGACUGAGGUCUGCAGCCAAUACUCUUUAUUGGGUUGGGUGUUAUUUUAGCUCGUAGGUAACCGAGUCUAGACAGCUUGCUGACUAGGUCCGUCUUAUUUGCGACUUGAAGUUUU